AUGGCGGCGGACACGGCUGCGACCCGAUCGCCGGAGGAGCGAUCCAAGGCCACCGGCGGUGACGACGUUCAGGACGAGGAGAGACACGCCAAGAAGAUGAGGACCACUCUGGAAGGCGACGACGGCGACGAGGAGUUGGAGAUCUCGUCUCCGCUCCGCGAGCCCUACCUCCCCAAGGAGGUAGACAUGCGCGCCAACCCGCAUAUCCUCGCCGCCUAUAAGCUCGCCCGAGACAAAUUCCAUGAUAAACGAGAUCGCGAGGAGAAGCUGCUCCCCAUGCGCCUAUCAUCACGCUUCGGAUCGUCGCCCCUCCUCAUCCCCGAAUCCGGGAGGAAGGCCGUGCUCUCCACCGCCGGAUCCAUCAUCCGCCUCUCCUCCUCUCUCGGUGGCGAUCCGCUGGCACAGUCCGCCGGUUUCUGGAUCCACUGGGACGAGGGGAGCAAAACCGGCAUUGUCUUAACGACCGCGCAUCUGAUCCGCGCCAACAAGCCGCUGGCCAAAGACUACUGGGCGAAAAAAGACCGGUACCAGUAUCAUCCCGGUGCUCAAGUUACUGCUCACUUGCUCGACGACACCACCACGGAGGGCCGUCUGCUCUAUCACCAGGAGCAUUACGACCUUGCUUUCUUUAAGAUUGCAAUGGAUCAGAGUGUUCAAGUAGCCUCUUUCGCUGACACGUUCAACAGCGGCCAGCAGGCUUUGCGGCUCGGAAGAGAUGGAAAUUUGAUUUUAAGGAUAACUCUUGGCAAGAUGACACAAGGUGACUUCGUGCAUUUUUGCCGAGAUAAAAAAUACGAGGAGGCGGAGACACGGAAGAGAGAGAGUGCACGGAAUGGACCGGGAUAUACUUCAUACGCAUCAGUUCCCAAGUCUGAGUUACAUUCCGACGAUGGAGGAGAGCCGGUCAUUGACUUUGAUGGAAAGGUUGUGGGGAUGAUCAAUGAUUGUCAACGUGGGUCCUUUGUUCCUUUUUUCAUUUUGAAUAGGUGCAUGGAACUCUGGAGGAAUUUCGGGUGCAUCCCUCGGCCCCACCUUGGAUUGCAGUUUAAGGCCAUCAAGUUUCUAGAUCCCUCUCAUGUUGAGUACAUAUGGCGCAAGCUAAAAAUUGAUGAAGGUCUUCUUGUUGAAGAGGUGUCAAUGGGAUCUCAUGCUGAAAAAGUUGGAAUCCGAGUAGGUGAUAUUAUUGGCAGCAUUGAUGGAGAACGUAUUUCUACCAGAAUUGAGUUGGAAAAAAAGUUGUUGAGCAUAUCAAUGGGCAGUUUUCAUGGGGGAAAUGACAUUAAUGUCAAAGUGGACAUUUCUGUCCAGGUAUUUCACACGAACAACCGUCUUUGGAGGGAUAAACAUUUAAAUGUAAAUAUAUUGGAUCACCGAGAAGUUGUUGAACGAGCUUUUUAUCUCAUCACAAAUGGAGAAGGGUUUUCACCCCCUGUAUCACCUGACCAAGAUUAG
rnacentral:rRNA from 1 species